rnacentral:rRNA from 1 species
AUUGAACGCUGGCGGCAGGCCUAACACAUGCAAGUCGAACGGUAACAGGAAACAGCUUGCUGUUUCGCUGACGAGUGGCGGACGGGUGAGUAAUGUCUGGGAAACUGCCUGAUGGAGGGGGAUAACUACUGGAAACGGUAGCUAAUACCGCAUAACGUCGCAAGACCAAAGAGGGGGACCUUCGGGCCUCUUGCCAUCGGAUGUGCCCAGAUGGGAUUAGCUAGUAGGUGGGGUAACGGCUCACCUAGGCGACGAUCCCUAGCUGGUCUGAGAGGAUGACCAGCCACACUGGAACUGAAACACGGUCCAGGCUCCUACGGGAGGCAGCAGUGGGGAAUAUUGCACAAUGGGCGCAAGCCUGAUGCAGCCAUGCCGCGUGUAUGAAGAAGGCCUUCGGGUUGUAAAGUACUUUCAGCGGGGAUGAAGGGAGUAAAGUUAAUACCUUUGCUCAUUGACGUUACCCGCAGAAGAAGCACCGGCUAACUCCGUG